ensembl:lncRNA
CCUCGCCAGCUGGACACCGUCCUGUCUGUGCCUGGCCUCGAUUACGAGACGCAAUUGUCUCGAUGCUAAAAUGAUUGCUAUUGGUUGUGAGCAGUAAUGGUGAUUGCUGGCGGACUCCUACACACCUGUGCGCCCUCAUGAUUUGGCUAAUCAUGAAACUGGUGUACGCAAGGAGAGCUAGUAUGAGAGACUCUGAUUGCUCCCCCUGCCAAAGUGCACUUAAUUACUCAAAAAGAUCCCAGCAGCACUGACUUCUCAUCUUGUGUCUCUUCAGUAUGAGUGCGGUGCAGCCUCCUCUGCUGUGGUCCACAGUGGUGACGGAAAGGAAGUGGAAGUGGGAGGAACUGGAGGGUCAACGGUCAAAGACUUGACAAAGAUAAAGGACGCCGGUGAGAUAAAGAUGCUGACAUGGCCUGAAACAACUCAUGUUAGGGAAACCAUCCAGCAUCAUACAGUAAGUUCUACAAAUUUCAGAGCUACAAAAGGAGCUUGCUGAGCUCGAGAAGCAUAACGAGGAAUUGGAGGACGAGGUUGAAAUGAAGAAGGCUGCAUACAUGGAUGAGAUUGCUGAUCUAGAG